rnacentral:rRNA from 1 species
GGUGUAAGGCCUGCUCAAUGAAAAUUAAAUAGCCGCAGAAAUUUAACUGUGCUAAGGUAGCAUAAUCAUUAGAUUUUUAAUUAAAAUCUGGAAUGAAAGGAUUAACCUUUAAUAACUCUCCUAAAAUAAAAAUUUUAAAUUAUAAUAAAAAUAAAAAUAUUUUUAUUCUUAAAAAAGACGACAAGACCCUAUUGAACUUAACUUAAGUUAAGCUGGGGCAGCUUAUUAAAAACAAUUUUAAUUUAAAUCCUUAAAUAAGUACCUAAUACUAUUAAAUCAAACAAGUUACCAUAGGGAUAACAGCGUAAUUUUUUAAAAAAGUUCUUAUCUAAUAAAAAGAUUGCGACCUCGAUGUUGAAUUAUAUUCCUUUUUAAAGCAAAAUUAAAUAUAGGGGCU